GGUCCAGUGGCGAAAUGGUUAUCGCCAGUUCGAGACCAGCAUUUUCACAGACGACACCGAAAGAUUGCAGGUUCGAUCCCUGCCUGGAUCG